rnacentral:rRNA from 1 species
ACGCUGGCGCGUGCCUAAUACAUGCAAGUCGAACGGUCUUUUCAUGGAAGCUUGCUUCACUGGGAAGAUAGUGGCGGACGGGUGAGUAACACGUGGGUAACCUGCCCAUAAGAGGGGGGAUAACAUCCGGAAACGGGUGCUAAUACCGCAUAGUUUUCUUGAUCGCAUGGUCGAGAAAGGAAAGACGGCCUUUGUGCUGUCGCUUAUGGAUGGACCCGCGGCGUAUUAGUUAGUUGGCGAGGUAACGGCUCACCAAGACGAUGAUACGUAGCCGACCUGAGAGGGUGAUCGGCCACAUUGGGACUGAGACACGGCCCAAACUCCUACGGGAGGCAGCAGUAGGGAAUCUUCCGCAAUGGACGAAAGUCUGACGGAGCAACGCCGCGUGAGUGAAGAAAAGGUUUUCGGAUCGUAAAACUCUGUUGUCAGAGAAGAACAAGUCGGAGAGUAACUGCUCCAGCCUUGACGGUAUCUGACCAGAAAGCCACGGCUAACUACGUGCCAGCCGCCGC